rnacentral:rRNA from 1 species
GGGCCCGCACAAGCGGUGGAGCAUGUGGUUUAAUUCGAUGAUACGCGAGGAACCUUACCAGGGCUUAAAUGUAGUGGGACAGGUCUAGAGAUAGACCCUUCUUCGGACUCAUUACAAGGUGCUGCAUGGUUGUCGUCAGCUCGUGCCGUGAGGUGUCAGGUUAAGUCCUAUAACGAGCGCAACCCCUAUCGUUAGUUGCCAGCGGGUAAUGCCGGGAACUCUAGCGAAACUGCCGGUGCAAACCGAGAGGAAGGUGGGGAUGACGUCAAAUCAUCACGGCCCUUACGUCCUGGGCUACACACGUGCUACAAUGGCCGGUACAGAGAGCAGCCACUACGCGAGUAGGAGCGAAUCUUCAAAGCCGGUCUCAGUUCGGAUUGCAGGCUGCAACUCGCCUGCAUGAAGUUGGAAUC